rnacentral:rRNA from 1 species
GCCGUGGUCAAGCACAAGGCGAGGUUGGUUGCAAAGGGUUAUGUGCAUCGGCAAGGGAUCGACUAUGAAGAAGUGUUCGCGCCAGUCGCACGGAUGGACUCGGUGCGCUUGCUGAUCGCCCUCGCCGCGCACCAUGACUGGCAGGUGCACCACAUGGACGUAAAGUCAGCGUUCUUGAACGGUGACCUGCUCGAGGAGGUAUAUGUGCAGCAGCCGCCGGGAUACGUGCAGUCCGGAGAAGAAGGCAAGGUGCUGCGCCUCCGCAAGGCUCUGUAUGGCCUACGCCAAGCCCCGAGGGCGUGGAACGCGAAGCUGGAUGACAGCCUGAUCACACUUGGCUUCGAGCGCUGUCCGUCUGAACAUGCCGUGUAUAGGAGGGGCACGGGAAGUUCACUGCUGCUCGUCGGAGUGUACGUGGAUGAUCUCAUCAUCACCGGCGUGAGCAUGGAGGAGAUCACGACUUUCAAGCUGCAGAUGACCAAGCUCUUCCGCAUGAGUGAUCUAGGCAAGCUCAGUUUCUACCUUGGCAUUGAAAUACAUCAGGAGCCCGAACGGAUCACGCUCCGUCAGACAGCAUACGCCCAGCGUCUGUUAGAGCGGGCUGGGUUGUCAGAUUGCAACUCUCUCAGCACACCUAUUCAACCAAGAUUGAAGCUGAGCAAAGACGGCGUCGGGGACGCAGUCGACGUAACAUACUACCGGAGCAUCAUCGGA